UGCUCCUUAAUGACCUGUCUCUGUGUUCACUGCCUAACCCCAACCUGCUCCUUAAUGACCUGUCUCUGUGUUCACUGUCCAACCCCCACCUGCAGAGAGACUGCCACAACCCAAUAGCACCUCAGACUGCAGCGACGUCCCCGCAGUUAAGGGCUGCGAUGCCGUUUCGCCUCCAAGCAAAACCUGUGCAGACCCUUUGACUCUAUUCAUUCCUGCUUGGAAUUUGUCAAGCAACUGCAGUAAACCAACAGUUAGUUACCUGAUGCAGAUCAAUGUCAGCAUUUCUGGAGAAAAUAACAAUGAACAUGACGUCCGUUUAUGGCUUCAGGAGCUCUUUGAUGAUCACUCAGAUGGCUGUUUGACAACAGCGAUGACAACAGCGAUGACAAAGUAUGACACAACUACAAUACAUUCAUUUACAAUGACGCCAUGACAAACUUAAACCAGCACUAUUUACAUUUUCACAUUAAUAGCCUU
rnacentral:lncRNA from 1 species